rnacentral:tRNA from 1 species
GGCGAGAUGGCUCAGUGGGUAAGAGCACUGACUGCUCUUCCAGAGGUCCUGAGUUCAAUUCCCAGCAACCACA